rnacentral:rRNA from 1 species
CACGUAGGGCGCAAGCGUUGUCCGGAAUUAUUGGGCGUGAAGAGCUCGUAGGUGGUUUGUUACGUCUGCUGUGAAAUCCUAGGGCUUAACCCUGGGCUUGCAGUGGAUACGGGCAGACUAGAGGUAGGUAGGGGAGAAUGGAAUUCCUGGUGUAGCGGUGAAAUGCGCAGAUAUCAGGAGGAACACCGGUGGCGAAGGCGGUUCUCUGGGCCUUACCUGACACUGAGGAGCGAAAGCGUGGGGAGCGAACAGG